UACGUAGGGUGCGAGCGUUGUCCGGAAUUACUGGGCGUAAAGCGUGCGCAGGCGGUUUUGUAAGUCAGAUGUGAAAUCCCCGGGCUUAACCUGGGAACUGCGUUUGAAACUACAAGGCUAGAGUGUGACAGAGGGGGGUGGAAUUCCACGUGUAGCAGUGAAAUGCGUAGAGAUGUGGAGGAACACCGAUGGCGAAGGCAGCCCCCCUGGGUUAACACUGACGCUCAGGCACGAAAGCGUGGGGGAGCAAACAGG
rnacentral:rRNA from 1 species